GAUGAACGCUAGCGGCAGGCCUAAUACAUGCAAGACGAACGGUAAGUUGAGUAGCAAUACUUAGCCAAGAGUGUCGUACGGGUGCGUAACACGUAUGCAACCUACCCUAUACAGGAGGAUAGCCUAGGGAAACCUGGAUUAACCCUUCAUAGUAUUAUUGGAUGGCAUCAUUUGAUAAUUAAAACUGAGGUGGUAUAGGAUGGGCAUGCGUCUGAUUAGUUAGUUGGCGGGGUAAUGGCCCACCAAGACGAUGAUCAGUAGGGGUUCUGAGAGGAAGAUCCCCCACACUGGCACUGAGAUACGGGCCAGACUCCUACGGGAGCAGCAGUAGGGAAUAUGGUCAAUGGAUGCAAGUCUGGAACCAGCCAUGCCGCGUGCAGGAGAAGGCCUUCU
rnacentral:rRNA from 1 species